rnacentral:rRNA from 1 species
GAUGAACGCUGGCGGCGUGCCUAAUACAUGCAAGUCGAGCGAACAGACGAGGAGCUUGCUCCUCUGACGUUAGCGGCGGACGGGUGAGUAACACGUGGAUAACCUACCUAUAAGACUGGGAUAACUUCGGGAAACCGGAGCUAAUACCGGAUAAUAUAUUGAACCGCAUGGUUCAAUAGUGAAAGACGGUCUUGCUGUCACUUAUAGAUGGAUCCGCGCUGCAUUAGCUAGUUGGUAAGGUAACCGCUUACCAAGGCAACGAUGCGUAGCCGACCUGAGAGGGGGGUCGGCCACCCUGGGACUGAGACGACGGCCAAGAGCCUGAGGGAAGGCACAGUAAGGAAAGGUCCGGAAUGGGGGGAAAGCUUGCCGGAGAAACGCGGGGGGGGUGAGGAAGGUCUCCGAACGGUAAAACUGUGUUAUGGGGGAAAACCAAUUUGGAAGGUAACGAGGCGCGAGUGAAGGUAACUUAUCAAGAAGCCCCGGCUAACUACGUG